rnacentral:tRNA from 1 species
UAAUAGUUGAUGAAAAAAUCAUAUUGUUUUGUCAAAACAAUUUUACAAAAAUUCUUGUGCUAUUAA